rnacentral:rRNA from 1 species
GUGGGGAAUCUUAGACAAUGGGCGCAAGCCUGAUCUAGCCAUGCCGCGUGAGCGAUGAAGGCCUUAGGGUUGUAAAGCUCUUUCAGGGGGGAAGAUAAUGACGGUACCCCCAGAAGAAGCCCCGGCUAACUCCGUGCCAGCAGCCGUGGUAAUACGGAGGGGGCUAGCGUUGUUCGGAAUUACUGGGCGUAAAGCGCACGUAGGCGGACCAGAAAGUCAGGGGUGAAAUCCCGGGGCUCAACCCCGGAACUGCCUUUGAAACUCCUGGUCAUGAGGUCGAGAGAGGUGAGUGGAAUUCCGAGUGUAGAGGUGAAAUUCGUAGAUAUUCGGAGGAACACCAGUGGCGAAGGCGGCUCACUGGCUCGAUACUGACGCUGAGGUGCGAAAGCGUGGGGAGCAAACAGGAUUAGAUACCCGAGUAGUCC